rnacentral:rRNA from 1 species
GAUGAACGCUGGCGGCGUGCCUAAUACAUGCAAGUCGAGCGCAGCGGGGACGGGUGAGUAAGACGUGGAAAACCUCCUUUAAGUAUGGGAUAACUUGGGGUACCCGGAGGUAAACCUGCUACUUGUAGAUGGAUCAGCGGUGGAUUCGCUAGUUGUUAAGGUAACGGCUUACAAAGGCAACGAUGCAUAGCCGACCUGAGAGGGUGAUCGGCCACACUGGAACUGAGACACGGCCCAGACUCCUACGGGAGGCAGCAGUAGGGAAUCUUCCGCAAUGGGCGAAAGCCUGACGGAGCAACGCCGCGUGAGUGAAGAAGGUCUUCGGAUCGUAAAACUCUGUUGGUAGGGAAGCGGUACCUAAUCAGAAAGCCACGGCUAACUACGUGCCAGCAGCCGCGGUAAUUC